UGAAAAUAUUGGAGUUCAGCCACAGUGACAGAGUAUCUCCGGAUUUCAUCCCUACACGGAUUUCAGUCCACUCCAUCUGAUUUUCUGCAGCACUUUGGUCAGUAUGUUGUUGUGCUCUUGAAGUGAAGAACCCCAAAUGAUGAUGUCAUCAAUAUAUGCUCUGACUCCUUCAAGUCCUUCAGUAAUGUUUUCCAUCACUCUAUGGGAGAUUUUUGAAAGCAGAAACCAUUCCAAAUGAUGAUCUUUGAGUGGAGCUCAACGUGCAGGAUGCACUACAGGCUGUGCAUUUUCCUUCAGCUGAAUCUUGAAAAGAAAAGCAGAGACAGCGGGGUUUCUCACUCUUCUGCCAACCAAGAGGCAGAUGCAGGGAAAGAUUUGCAGUUUCCCCCUCAGCAGACAUCGUUAAAUUCCUCCCCUGCCCCCACUGGAAACCAAGUGAUCAGAAGAAAUUUGCUGAAUUUAUUUAAUAAACAGACAUAGCAAAAGAUCUGCCUGAUUCAUUUUGCCUGACGCACAUUCAUCAGAUGUUCUUAAAACAAAAAUAAUGGAAAGUGAUUGCUUUUUUAAGAAUGUAAUUGAAAGCCUCAAAUGAGGACAACCUCUGCAAUGCAUUUAUUCUGUCUAGUAUUUUCAAA